UCGCUUACUUCAGCAGCACAUGUACUGAAAACUAGAAUGAUAGACAUUAGCAUGGCCCCUGCACAAGGAUGACACAGAAAUCUGUGAAGUAUUCCGUAUUAAA
rnacentral:snRNA from 1 species